CCUACGGGAGGCAGCAGUGAGGAAUAUUGGUCAAUGGACGAGAGUCUGAACCAGCGAAGCCGCGUGAAGGAUGAAGGCUCUCUGGAUUGUAAACUUCUUUUAUAUGGGAGUAAAAUGUUCCACGUGUGGGAUUUUGUAUGUACCAUUUGAAUAAGGCUCGGCUAACUCCGUGCCAGCAGCCGCGGUAAUACGGAGGAUCCGAGCGUUAUCCGGAUUUAUUGGGUUUAAAGGGAGCGUAGGUGGAUUGUUAAGUUAGUUGUGAAAGUUUGCGGCGCAACCGUAAAAUUGCAGUUGAAACGGGCAGGCUUGAGUACAGGAGAGGUAGGCGGAAUUCGUGGUGUAGCGGUGAAAUGCUUAGAUAUCACGAAGAACUCCGAUGGCGAAGGCAGUUCACUGGACGGCAACUGACACUGAGGCUCGAAAGUGUGGGGAGCAAACAGGAUUAGAUACCCCAGUAGUC
rnacentral:rRNA from 1 species